CUGAACGCCUCUAAGUCAGAAUCCAUGCCAGAACGCGGUGAUACCACCCGCACGUAUAGAUGGACAAGAAUAGGCUUCGGCUUAGCGUCUUAGCAGGCGAUUCUUCCACGGCGCUCGAAGCGCGUCGUGGUAUUUCGCGUAUUGUAAUUUCAACACGAGCGGGGUCAAAUCCUUUGCAGACGACUUAGCUGUGCGAAACGGUCCUGUAAGCAGUAGAGUAGCCUUGUUGUUACGAUCUGCUGAGGGUAAGCCGUCCUUCGCCUCGAUUUCCCCAAUGGGUUCUCCGGAUUUCUGGAGACUUGUAGGGGUUGUGGGAUUUUUGAUGUGUCGUCUCCGGACGGGCGGUGCAGGGUAGUCGAGUUAGACUUGGUGGAAUUCCGUCGAUAGGAGUUCCGUCGAGUCUGGUCGGCUGUGUGUUGGACGGUGCAGGGUAGGCUGCUUGGACAUGGUCGGUUCGAGGAUCGAUUCGAGGGCCGGCGCCUAUCGAUGAUGUGUGAUGUAUGCGGUCUAGGGUAGGCUGGUUUGUCUUGGUCCAAUUUGAUGUCGGCUCCCGUGCAGGCCAGAGUGAAGGGGGGUCCAGGGUAGGUACAGGGUAGGCAGCUUAUAUUUGGUCGGUCUGGAGGUCGAUUCUCUGGCUGGCGGAUCUGACACUGUCGAAACGAGAUGCGAGCGGUGUAGGGUAGGCUAGUUUCGUCCUCGCCAGGUUGCGAUUUGGACGAGAUAUGUGGUUCAGGGUAGGCUCUAGGGUAAGUAGAAUUCGAGUUUCGUCGCCGACAGUUUUCUGUGUGUGUAUGGUAGGUGCAGGGUAGGCAAAUCUCUCUCCGGCCAGUACUUGUCUGGUGGUCGUGAGUCGAUUUUUUUGUUUUGCCAUACUAUUGAAUUUUGCGGAAAUUCAAAAGUGGCUCGGGAGUCCCGCCUGGCGUGCGUCCGACUCGAACAUCGUCGGUGUACAUAUGAGAGGGAGUAAUCCGGCCCGGCCGGGGCCCAUCGCGAGCUGCAGGGUAGGUAAAAGUAAAAAAGUUGUUAAGAGGCGCGGUGUCGGCGUGCUUGUAUUUGCGGGAGAGAAUUAUCUGGAGGUGCUGGGUAGCCGGGAAGACUUGGAUGGAUCUGGCCCGGGAAUGGGUCUGCGCCUGGAUUCUGGUGUGGUGUAGGGUAGGUGUAGAUAGAUGAGUGGUCUAGGGUAGGUACAGGGUAGCUAGAAGUCUGGUAUAUAGUAUUGGGGGGGUGUAGGGUAGGUCUGGGCACUGUUUUCCGCUUCGCCCUUCCCUUUACUCGAGGGGAGGACGAUCUUGGCUGGGACGGAGGUGUAGGGUAGGCUUAAUUUACGAUUAUAUAAUCUGCAUCACUCUAGGGUAGCUGAAAAUCUUAUAUGUAUCUGGUCACAUUUGGUGAAGAGGUUGGUUUGGAUGGUGAGAUGAACAAAAGUGCAAUGUAGAAUUGUAUAUGAUUUUGCAAAAGUGGGCGUGAAAUUGGAAAGUCGGUUUUCCCGCGCAGAUGAGAGCAUGUUUGAGGUGCCAUGAGAUGCACCUCUCCGAGACGACCUCAACGGUACCACCCAUGUGUUGGUCGGACUCCUGUGCGGCCGUCCAGGGCGGGAUAAGUAGAGAAUAUGGUGGUGUAGGGUAGGUGGCCGGGUCCAGGGUAGGUUCACCAAAUCCGUCAAUUCGGCUUGAAUCGAAGGGCAGGUCUAGGGUAGGCCGGAGUAGGGUCUAGGGUAGGCAACUCUCACCCUCGAAGUGGUCUACCCGGUAGCCAACUUCAAUCGCCUCUCACGGCCGCCACGGACCUCGCAUGACGACGGGACUACCACCAUCGGAUUCGCCUUGGUCGAAAUAGCUGGUAUAUGCACUUUUGAAAAAAUGCGUGCAAAAUGGUUUUGUGGUUUGGUGGCCGUGAGUCGAUUUUUUUGUUUUCCCAUACAAAUGAAUUUUGCGGAAAAUAAAAAGUGGCCCACGAGGCAGUCCUGGCGUGCGGCCCACUAAAACGGUCUCGGAGGGUAUAUGAGAAGGGAGCAAAUCCGGCCGAGCCUGAAAGGGUGAGGACAAACCGGGCGAGCAACCUCUCAGUAUCAGAUCUUGCAGACUUCCACUGCGUGUCCCUCUGUACAGCUUUGCAGGCUCCGGCCUCGGCAGCGGGGGGUUCAUAGUGGUCGUCGACCUCCACGAAACUGCACGCUCCGGCGUGACAGCGUACUGGGGAUGCCUGUGUAGAUGCAGUCCGGGCUUGCCUGGACCGCUAGCAGAUGGGCUCUGUGGAUGACUGGCCGCUGGCUAGACCUGAAACCUGAGCAACGGGAGGUAACCUCUCGCCGCGGACACCGGAAUGGUAGAAGCGGCGUGCUGCGUCCUCCUCUUGGGGCCCCUAAGCCACACCUCCCAUAGCGGGUUCGGUGCGGCGGACGGACGCCCUGGGGAAUUUAGAGGGGGAAAGCGGAUUGCCCUAGCGGUGUCGUUGGCCCUGCCGACCUCACUGCGAAAGGCGCGACUUCACCGUCGCCACCCAGUAACUUGUCUCUCCGGCGCUUCACGGCGCUGGUGGCCAACCCCGGCACACGAUAGUUACCUGGUUGAUUCUGCCAGUAGUCAUAUGCUUGUCUC
rnacentral:misc_RNA from 1 species